rnacentral:tRNA from 1 species
GCUAAUCUAUUGUAGUUUGAGAGCAAGUAGAUUUUUCGUGUCUAAAGAGUUAUGUUAAAUAACGGUUAGUA